rnacentral:rRNA from 1 species
CAGUAGCCGCGGUAAUACCAGCACCUCGAGUGGUCAGGAGGUUUAUUGGGCCUAAAGCAUCCGUAGCCGGUUGCAUAAGUUUUCGGUUAAAUCUAUGCGCUUAACGUAUAGGCCGCCGAAAAUACUGUGCAGCUAGGGAGUGGGAGAGGUACACGGUACUCGAUAGGAAGGGGUAAAAUCCUUUGAUCUAUUGAUGACCACCUGUGGCGAAGGCGGUGUACCAGAACACGUUCGACGGUGAGGGAUGAAAGCGUGGGGAGCAAACAGGAUUAGAUACCCGCGUAGUCCCUGUCUCUUAUAC